GAAUUGGGUAACCGAGACAAUCGUUAGUGGCGAAAGGGUGAGGAAUGGAUAGGUAACGUACCUUUGGCUUCGGAAUAGCGUCCCGAAAGGGGCGGUAAUACCGGAUGAUAUCACAGAGUGCAGGCUUUGUGAUCAAAGAUUUAUCGGCCAAAGAGCGGCCUAUUCCCUAUCAGCUUGUUGGUGAGGUAAUGGCUCACCAAGGCGACGACGGGUAGCGGGACUGAGAGGUUGGCCCGCCACAUCGGGACUGAGACACUGCCCGGACCUCCACGGAGGGCUGCAGUAACGAAUAUUGGGCAAUGGGCGAAAGCCUGACCCAGCGACGCCGCGUGCAGGAGGAAGUCCUUCGGGAUGUAAACUGCUGUCAGGGACUAGAAAGCUACGGUUGAUCAGUCCCAGAGGAAGUCACGGCUAACUUCGUGCCAGCAGCCGCGGUAAUACGAAGGUGGCAAGCGUUGUUCGGAAUCACUGGGCUUAAAGGGCGCGUAGGCGGACCAGAAAGUGUCUUGUGAAAUCCCCCGGCUUAACCGGGGAAUGGCAGGGCAAACUACUGGUCUUGAGGCAAGUAGGGGUGUGUGGAACUCUUGGUGGAGCGGUGGAAUGCGUAGAUAUCAAGAGGAACGCCGAAGGUGAAGACAGCACACUGGACUUGUACUGACGCUGAGGCGCGAAAGCGUGGGGAGCAAACAGGAUUAGAUACCCUGGUAGUCCACGCUGUAAACGAUG
rnacentral:rRNA from 1 species